rnacentral:rRNA from 1 species
UGCCUCAGUAACGGCGAGUGAAGCGGCAACAGCUCAAAUUUGAAAUCUGGCCCUAGGCCCGAGUUGUAAUUUGCAGAGGAUGCUUUUGGUGAGGUGCCUUCCGAGUUCCCUGGAACGGGACGCCAUAGAGGGUGAGAGCCCCGUCUGGUCGGACACCGAGCCUCUGUAAAGCUCCUUCGACGAGUCGAGUAGUUUGGGAAUGCUGCUCAAAAUGGGAGGUAUAUGUCUUCUAAAGCUAAAUAUUGGCCAGAGACCGAUAGCGCACAAGUAGAGUGAUCGAAAGAUGAAAAGCACUUUGAAAAGAGAGUUAAAUAGCACGUGAAAUUGUUGAAAGGGAAGCGUUUAUGACCAGACUUGGCCCGGUUGAUCAUCCAGCGUUCUCGCUGGUGCACUCUGCCGGUCCAGGCCAGCAUCAGUUCGUCGCGGGGGAUAAAGGUUUCGGGAAUGUGGCUCCUCCGGGAGUGUUAUAGCCCGUUGCGUAAUACCCUGCGGUGGACUGAGGUCCGCGCUUCUGCAAGGAUGCUGGCGUAAUGGUCAUCAACGACCCGUCUUGAAACACGGACCAAGGAGUCGUCUUCGUAUGCGAGUGUUCGGGUGUAAAACCCCUACGCGUAAUGAAAGUGAACGCAGGUGAGAGCUUCGGCGCAUCAUCGACCGAUCCUGAUGUUCUCGGAUGGAUUUGAGUAAGAGCAUACGGGGCCGGACCCGAAAGAAGGUGAACUAUGCCUGUAUAGGGUGAAGCCAGAGGAAACUCUGGUGGAGGCUCGCAGCGGUUCUGACGUGCAAAUCGAUCGUCAAAUAUGGGCAUGGGGGCGAAAGAC